GUACACGCUGUGACUAGCAUAUCAAUAAGCGGAGGAAAAGAAACUAACAAGGAUUCCCCUAGUAACGGCGAGUGAAGCGGGAAGAGCUCAAAUUUGAAAUCUUAAAGGGUUUCCCUUUACGAAUUGUAGUUUAAAGAAGUGUUUUCUGUUGAGGUUUUGGUAAAAGUUCUUUGGAAUAGGACAUCAUAGAGGGUGAGAAUCCCGUAUUUGACCUUUACUUUCAACUUUGUGAUACACUUUCAAAGAGUCGGAUUGUUUGGGAAUGCAGUCCAAAAUGGGUGGUAAAUUUCAUCUAAAGCUAAAUAUUGGCGAGAGACCGAUAGCGAACAAGUACCGUGAGGGAAAGAUGAAAAGAACUUUGAAAAGAGAGUUAAACAGUACGUGAAAUUGUCAAAAGGGAAGCGUUUGACACCAGUGUUGUUUUUCUGAAAAUCAAUUAAAGAACUGUUUAUGCUAAGUUCGUUUAGACUUUAUCAGCUAACUGUUUAGUUUAGAGCUUUUCUUUAAUGCACUUUUCAGUUAACAAGUCAACAUCAAUUUCUUUUGCUGUAAAAAAGCUUGAGGAAGGUGGCUUGAGAUUCGUCUUAAGUGUUUAUAGCCUCUUGCCUAUGCAGUCGGAGAGAUUGAGGUCUGCAGCGUAGAUCCUUCGGGGCUAAAUGCAUUUGUGCUAAGUUAUAACAUUUUAUAGACAACUUGUUGACUAUGAUUUGUCUUGUAGCUUACUCGCUUAUGUUAUUUUACCUACGCUUAGGAUGUUGACAGCAGUAUAGACUGU
rnacentral:rRNA from 1 species